rnacentral:tRNA from 1 species
AAUGAGGUGCCUGAGUCAAAGGGCUAUCUUGAUAGGGUAGAUCACGUGGGGAAACCCACUCUCAUU